GAUGAAGAACGCAGCGAAAUGCGAUAAGUAGUGUGGAUUGCAGAAUUCAGUGAAUCAUCGAAUCUUUGAACGCACAUUGCGCCCUUUGGUAUUCCAAAGGGCAUGCCUGUUCGAGCGUCAUUUGUACCCUCAAGCUUUGCUUGGUGUUGGGCGUCUUGUCUCUAGCUUUGCUGGAGACUCGCCUUAAAGUAAUUGGCAGCCGGCCUACUGGUUUCGGAGCGCAGCACAAGUCGCACUCUCUAUCAGCAAAGGUCUAGCAUCCAUUAAGCCUUUUUUUCAACUUUUGACCUCGGAUCAGGUAGGGAUACCCGCUGAACUUAAGCAUAUCAAUAAGCGGAGGA
rnacentral:misc_RNA from 1 species